UCGCGGCUUAUCACCGGCAGUCCCCUUAGAGUGCCCAACUGAAUGAUGGCAACUAAGGGCGAGGGUUGCGCUCGUUGCGGGACUUAACCCAACAUCUCACGACACAAUCUGACGACAGCCAUGCAGCACCUGUGUUCAGGCUCCCUUUCGGGCACUCCCCCAUCUCUGGAGGAUUCCUGACAUGUCAAGGGUAGGUAAGGUUUUUCGCGUUGCAUCGAAUUAAACCACAUCAUCCACCGCUUGUGCGGGCCCCCGUCAAUUCCUUUGAGUUUCAGCCUUGCGGCCGUACUCCCCAGGCGGGGUACUUCCUGCGUUAGCGCCGGCACCCAAGGGGUCGCUCCCCCAGGCACCUAGUACCCAUCGUUUACGGCGUGGACUAC
rnacentral:misc_RNA from 1 species